UACGUAGGAGGCGAGCGUUGUCCGGAGUUACUGGGCGUAAAGCGCGCGCAGGCGGCUAUCCAAGUCAGUGGUGAAAGCCCGGAGCUCAACUCCGGAACUGCCAUUGAAACUGUUUAGCUUGAGGAUGAGAGAGGUGAGUGGAAUUCCCAGUGUAGAGGUGAAAUUCGUAGAUAUUGGGAAGAACACCAGUGGCGAAGGCGGCUCUCUGGACCGUAACUGACGCUGAGGCGCGAAAGCGUGGGGAGCAAACAGG
rnacentral:rRNA from 1 species